rnacentral:rRNA from 1 species
CACGUAGGGACCAAGCGUUGUCCGGAUUUAUUGGGCGUAAAGCGCUCGUAGGCGGUUCGGUAAGUCGGGUGUGAAGCCUCCAGGCUCAACCUGGUGACGCCACCCGAUACUGCCGUGACUUGAGUUCGGUAGGGGAGCGGGGAAUUCCUGGUGUAGCGGUGAAAUGCGCAGAUAUCAGGAGGAACACCGGUGGCGAAGGCGCCGCUCUGGGCCGAAACUGACGCUGAGGAGCGAAAGCGUGGGGAGCGAACAGG